GUCCUCAGCAGCAUGGCGAGGGUCAGCAGGCAGCACAGCACCAGCGAGCACACGUAGCACACUUCCAGCGACCACAGGUAGUGCUUGACAGUGCUGAGCUCCUUCUCCAUGUCCCCUGGCAUGCCCGGGUUCUCCGAGGGCACCAGCCCGAACUGCACCAGCAGCACCACCACGUCCUUCGUCAUGCCUGCUCGCACGAUUUGAAUGGUGGGGACGAAGGCCACCAGCAGCAGCAGGGCCACCUGGUAGACAGCAAUGACUGAUGUGGUCAUGGACAGGACGAGCUUCAGCGGCAGCUGGAAACCUGCAAAUGGGAGAAACCAGCUGCGAACUGAGGUUUUCCUUCCUGCAAACCCCUUAAUCCUCACGCUCCCACAGCAGCAGCCCCACUCCAUCCCAUGCCCCGUGGGUGUCCCAGCCCCCAGUUCCUC
rnacentral:lncRNA from 1 species